rnacentral:lncRNA from 1 species
GAUUUUUAUCUUUAUGGAAAAGACAAAUUCCAUGGAAACCUUUUGUCCAACUCUGAUUUAGAUCAGUAACUAAAAAUACUUGAGUCCAAAAAGGUCCUUGUACGACCUAUAUUGGCUUGUAAUAAUUCUAGCAAUGUACUAAAGGAGAAAGAAGUACAAAAUAUAGAUUUCUCCUGGACCAAAAUUAUAAUGAAGAGCCCCUCCUCUACUUUAAAAGCACCUCUUCCUAUUGUCUCUGGGGAGGGAGGCCAACAGCUAAAAUACAUUAUGGACAUUGACUGGAGGUGGGCAAGGUGCUGAUGCCAAUGUCCAAUACGGCAUAUUUCCUCUCUAAGUCCUGGCCAGAAAAGCAAACUCAACUGCUAUCACUGCCAGGUAAAAGUCAUUAGUACCCAACUACCAGAAGCUUCUCCAAAAACCUAAUGCACUGCAUUCACAAGGGAAACAUCCAAGGAUGGACUUCAACUGAGUGGGACCUACAUGGAGGCAUGGGAAUGGUGCUGGAUAAACCCACUCCUACAACCCUAAACAAUUCCUAAACCAAGGAAUCUAUCUAGUCACCACGCCUAAAUUCCAUUGCUUAGCACUCAAAGCCUUUCAAGUAUUCACAACAGCAACAUAAAAUCCUUUGAAAGGAACAAACACACACCCUCGAGUACCUUCUCUGCAGGGAUUAGUUGAUAACUAAGGAGAGCAUGUCUUUCAAAACCAAGAAAGUGCUAGGUACCUAAGACAUGGCAGGGUCAAAAGAAAGUCCACAGAAGAGAGGUUAGAAAAGGCAAAGAGAAAAGCAUGGGCUGGGACUUGUGACGUUAUCAUGGAUUAAGUGAAACAAUUAGCUCACUGUUGGCCUCAGUUUCUAUCAAGUUCAAAAUCUAACAAGGUGGAGUAUUCUGUAUCAUUGCAUAGGUUUAAAUUUGCAAAUAAAGCUGGCAAAAAAUAAGAAAUUUGCAAAGUUAGUCCUUUGGAGGAAGCUCCCUUCCUCCUAAGGUUCUUCCUAGAAUUCAGAUGAUGGCACCAGGUAGAUGGCAGCAUCAGAACCCACCUUGGUAGGAUAACUGAGUCAGUCCCACAGACACACCCUCAACUCAUUUACAUUUCUUUGAGGUAAUGGCAAUUAUUAACAAAAUUUGACAACAGUAUUGGAAAUGAUCUUGGGGCCAGAUUUUGUUUGCCCAAGAAUACAGACGAUUUUAGAAGAGUGAAUCUCUUUGAGCUGUUUUUUUCCUGUAAAAUGAGGAUAAUAUCUACUGUAAAAAAUAAUGUGAGAAUUACAUGCGGUAAUAGCAGAUAGAGCUUGGCACAUAGUAGCGUUCAACCUACCCCUGCCUGUAAGUCCUUGGUUGCUGAGGCCCUGCUGGGUAAUGACCACUACCUUGUAAGCACAAAAAGCUCUUCUGCUGAAGUAAAUGGUACAGUACUAAGAUCCUCUGCAAUGCUAGAUUUUGCUUGGGCUUUCU